GGGCGGUUAGCUCAGCGGUAGAGCGCUUGCCUUACAAGCAAGAUGUCACUGGUUCGAUCCCAGUACCGCCCA
rnacentral:tRNA from 1 species